GCAAGUCGAACGAGAACGAUACCUUCGGGUGUUUAGUAAAGUGGCGCACGGGUGAGUAACACGUGGGUAACCUACCCCUCGGCGGGGGAUAACCGUUCGAAAGGACGGCUAAUACCGCAUACGGUCGCGACCUCUUUGGGGGACGCGAGGAAAGUGGCGUAAGUCACACCGGGGGAUGGGCCCGCGCACCAUUAGCUAGUUGGUGGGGUAAUGGCCUACCAAGGCUUAGACGGUUAGCUGGUCUGAGAGGAUGACC
rnacentral:rRNA from 1 species